CCCUUAUUCAGAGUGAUGGAGGUACAUAGGACCGGUGAAGUCACGGCAACCCCUGUUAAUCGCAGACGCGAGAGGGCAGGAAGGUGCCAACCUGAGCGAGUAAAUCGAGCAAUAAGAG
rnacentral:ncRNA from 2 species